CCUACGGGGGGCUGCAGUGGGGAAUAUUGGACAAUGGGGGCAACCCUGAUCCAGCCAUGCCGCGUGUGUGAAGAAGGCCCUCGGUUUGUAAAGCACUUUCAGUGAGGAAGAACGCCUGGUGGUUAAUACCCAUCAGGAAAGACAUCACCCACAGAGGAAGCACCGUCUAACUCCGUGCCAGCAGCCGCGGUAAUACGGAGGGUGCGAGCGUUAAUCGGAAUUACUGGGCGUAAAGGGCGCGUAGGUGGCUUGAUAAGCCGGUUGUGAAAGCCCCGGGCUCAACCUGGGAACGGCAUCCGGAACUGUCAAGCUAGAGUGCAGGAGAGGAAGGUAGAAUUCCCGGUGUAGCGGUGAAAUGCGUAGAGAUCGGGAGGAACACCAGUGGCGAAGGCGGCCUACUGGACUGACACUGACACUGAGGUGCGAAAGCGUGGGUAGCAAACAGGAUUAGAUACCCUUGUAGUC
rnacentral:rRNA from 1 species